GGUGUAUUCAACCCGCAGUGCCCUUCCUUCCCUCCCUCUCCUCCCCCGUUUCAUCUUCACCGAGUCCAGCAGCUCGACGAGCGCUCGGCAGCGGCGGCGGAACCCCGACGGCGACGGCGGCCCAGGGAGGUGAGCAGGAGGAGGACCAGAGGUCAGGGAGUGUUUGGUUUCAGGGAGAUCGUUGGGGAGGAGUUCAUGACCAUGUUCCUGUCAGUUUUUAGCAGUUUAGGAGGAUGUAGAGAGAACGGUGUUCAUACAAUUCAGUGCAGCAUCAACAGACGUGUUCCUAAAUUUUGAUGAUUAUUAGAGAGAAAGAGAGAUGAUAUGGUGACCGAAAGUCUAUGUGUUUGUGUCGUGUACGUGUCGGGCAGUGGUAGAUUAAACAUAUUAUGUAAUGGGACUUGGCAAGGGAUAGAGACUGGCAUGAUUUUUUUUCUGAGCAGCAAAUUGGCGCAACCCUUCGUGAUUUUUGAAGUUUGGACAGAGUUAUGAACCAUUCGCCGCCUAAUCUGUAGAUUAUUUCUAGGAUCAAUAUGGUGGCCAUCAGGGUUCCCAUCACCGUGCAUGCCAAGCUUGAGCUCCUCAAGAAUGCCACCAAGCUGGCGUGUAAUGGAUGAUGGCUGAUGCAACGGUGGAGGAGGCAUAUUGAUGUCAGUUUGAAGCAAAUCAGGAGAACGCCGCCAUCGGUUAGGUUGCCAGGUGAAGGAAUUGCAGCGGACUGGUGGCAAGGCUUUUCAACUCACCACCGUUUGAGUUCAUCAUCUGUCGCUACUGCACCCACUCAGCCGUAUCCAUGUUUGCAUAUUCUCCAGCCCGUUGAAUAAUCCACGGUAAGUGGUUAGGAGCUACAUAUUUUCCACUUUUGCCAUGUUUUAUACACCGAACUGAUAUAUUCUUUGACAUGAAACUAGAUUCCGAUCUUCUGGUCUUGCCUACUGUUUACUUAUUCAAAUUGAUUCAGUUUUCUGUUUGUAUGCAUUAGUCAUAUUAUAAGUUGUUGCACGCUGCCGCAAGCUGCCCGGAGCCACGCAACCUCUGUCCUAAUGGCACGACAUCACUUACAAUUCUGGCUCCACUUCCUCUAGGCAGCAUAGUCGUUUAAACCCAUAAUAUGAGAGACAGUUUAGCUCCCCGAUGGUAGUUGGAUGCUGCUAUGGAGGAAUAAAAGGAACAUUGUGAUUAUAGGCACAUUUUGAAUAAUAGCAGGAAGGAGCUGCUGGAACUAACUAAUGCUAGAAAGUAAUUUCUUGAUCUAUUUACUCGAGUAGUUGUUGAGGUAAAGGAAUAUGGUUUUUGGGCCCAAGUAGCAUUUACAUUAAUAGUGAUUUUUGUGAGAAGAAAAAUAUUAUAGGCUGAUUCCUAUUGUUAUAGUACCAACUUAUCUCAGAAACAGAGAAGCACCAAGCUGGACUGCUGGCCGAGGAGAUGCAUAUGUGGGCACUUUCUGCUGGCCAAGUUCAGAAGCAAAUUAACUGCUUAUAUUUACAUAAGAAACAGAGAGAAAAUGAAAGGAGAAAGAAAUGUCUAAGAAGCCAAAGGUAUUGCUGCAGCUGAUAUGUCGCCUACUCCUUUGGAUACCAUUCAUAUCGUACUUAACUCAGUGAGCAAAUUGAGGACUACGGUUAUCUUCCAUGUCUGUGAAAUAACUGCGAUAGUUUCAUAACACCAAAUGGUCCAGAGUGCAUCCAAUACAUGGUCAACAACACCGCUGAUUUUCACGAAACCGAUAAUAUUACUGGUCAGUGUAGAUAUGGGUUUUCUAAUUUCGUCAAAUGCAGCUAUGUUAUACUAACAACCUGUGUUUGCAUGUCCUAAUUUAUGUCUGCAAAAGCUGUAUCUUUUGUUGAGCUAUAUUAUGUGUAUGUACGUGCAUGUUGCACAUAGAUGUUAUUUGGCAUGCAUGAAUUCUAAUUUUAAUUUAAAGUUAGGCA